AACGGCUAAACCCAUUCCCCAAUUCAAUUAUUCAAUUUUUCGUUCAAAUUCUCUCCUGCUCCCGUCACCGACUCACCGUGUGCCGCCUGACCUUCCUCCACUCCGCCGCCGGUCACUUCUUUUUCUGAAGUCUCAAACUCCGUGACUCUGUAAUUCAUCUGUGUUGCUGUGUCGUGCCGUGCGUCCCUGUUUGUUCAACCGUGAGGUGCCAGGCUCUGAUUGGUAAUUGGUAAAGCUCUUCAAUUGCUCGAACUCGAAGCGGCACCGCCACUGCCUAUACUGUCGAGCACGGAAUUAACCAUACUCAACGUUUAUGGAAGGUUGCCGGUUACUUUUCGAAGUAGAUAUAUUUUCGGCAUUUUGAUUGUCGUUGAUGUCCAGGAAAGACUGAAGUCUCCAGUAAACAAGAAAUGUGGCAACGCAGAUUAAUUUCAAUAAGAAUCAGGGUUUUUAUACAAUUUCAUGUUGAUUAGUCUAGCUUCCAUUCGAAUUUUCCUUGGUUUUUGAUCAAUAACGAGAAUUGGAGAAUUAAAAUGAAUUAAUCAAUCGAGUCAGAUUCCUAAUGCAUGUCUAGAUUAGAUGUUGGAAUAUAGUGGUGUUAAUGAAACUGGAUUAUCACAUACCGUAUACGUAGUUUAGAUACCGAUUUUGAAUAUACCAUAUAUGCAAUAUAUCGUAUAUGCAGCUUACUGUAUUUGCAGGCAGUUUAUCGUA